rnacentral:pre_miRNA from 1 species
CCCUCCCGCCGGAUCUGGCAGAGGGGAGGGCGCCGCCGCUUGCCGCCUCCCCUCCCGCCAGAUCCGGCAGAGGGGA